CAGCAGCCCUCUGUAGUUCAGAUUCUGUCUUGCCAAAAUUAUUUUAUUCAAGAGGCAAAUGGAAAAUAAAUCUCUGUCAGGAUCUAUUAUUCAGUUCAGACAUCAUCUAUGAUCCAUGAUGUGACAUUGCCUGUUUUCUGCCUGACUGCCUGGGCUUUCAGGGAUUCCUUGGAAUCUAUCUUGGGAGCUUUGCAAAGUAAGAAAAGUUAUAAAUAAACUCCUAAUGACAAGAUCAUGUAUUUCAACUACAUCUGGAAAGUUCAGAAAGCCACUUUGAAGAUACUGUCUCUAGGGCUCCUGUUCUUUCUCGGAAGAAGACCAGGAUCCCUGUCUUCUCUCUCUCUCGCUCUUCUCGGAAUUCCAGGCACAAAGCACUGCGCAAAAGCUGCACCAAUCCUUGCCGCAACUGCCUGCCCAGGACAAGAGGUGGGGAGAGACCAGAAAAUUCACCUCACCCCUGCGCCGGUUUUUAUAAAUGGGGAUUGCACAAAUGUGCCGGAGCAAAGGGGUGAAAAGGCAGGGUGCCAGUUUGCUACACUAGGCUGCAAUGAUCUCAUGUUCAAUGCUGUCGCCCCGUUUGCCCAGUUCAAACGCCUGUUCAUGAAACAGGAGGAAAGAGAAAAAAAAAACCAAAAAACAAAACAACCAAAAAAAAAAGAAAACCCAGAAAAAAUAAAAAUAUAACAACUUUUAUCCUUCAGGAGGGCUGCUCUAAACUACAUGUCACCAAUAAAAAAUAAAACGUGCAGUUCUAAAUAGCA
rnacentral:lncRNA from 1 species